UAAGCUCCCCCCGAGUAUUAUAUUAAAAAAAAUCAUUGUUUCUUCAGAGUGAUAUUUUAAAGCUCCCCAUGAGUACUUAUCACAUUUUUCUUAGUUUCUUCAAAGUGAGGUUUGUAAGCUCGCCUUGAGUUGAGACUUAGAAAAAUAUUUAUGGAUUAGUUUGAUUUUAACUAUGUUUGGGUUUAAUUAGGGUCACAAG
rnacentral:lncRNA from 1 species